UUUAACUUUUCCUCUUGGCUCAGCUAAGCA
rnacentral:piRNA from 1 species